AAAGAUGUUUUUGGUCAUUUUUUGGAGAAGCCUCAACUAUCCACUCAUAAGCAUGAAAAUAUGAACCAAUACAUCAUUUGUGAGAAGGGCUCCAACUUGUAUAAAAUCAAGAAGUAUGCCACUAGCUCUCACAAAUGGAAAAGGAGCAACAUUUUCAUACAAUACCAUGAGGAAUAGGACACUUACAAUCUCACUUAUAAAAAUGCCAUUACUUUUGGGACAAAUUUAGCACUAUGUUAAGCAAUCGUAAUUGGACUUAAGUAGAAG
rnacentral:lncRNA from 1 species